GGGGAUGUGGCUCAGUGGUAGAGUGCUAUGCCUAGCAUGCAUGAGGCCCUGGGUUCAAUCCCUAGCACCA
rnacentral:tRNA from 1 species